UCACGGAUCGUUGAUUUCCAGUCCGAAUUUUAAGGAAGAAAGGCAGCGCUCUCCGAUCAACAGCUUGCGGCUUCACACCACGAACGAGCAGACAGCCCACAGCACAGCGCUCUCCCCGCUCCGCUUCUAAGCCCGUUGCCAGGCUUCUUACUGGGUUGGGGGGGGCGCCAAAUGUGCCCGCUGGGUCCCAGGCUCACAGGCUUCUCCCGCCUGUGAUUUUUGGGGGUCCCCCGCUACGCCGAAAGCGGGAUCCGACCCUUAAUUCGCGGUGAGAUUUCCUCCGGUGGAGGAAAUCCGCCAUUAAUCGCUGGCGCCGCCUCCGGAAGU